UACGAAGGGGGCGAGCGUUGUUCGGAUUUACUGGGCGUAAAGGGCGCGCAGGCGGUUCUGUUUGUCGAGUGUGAAAGCCCCGGGCUCAACCUGGGAACUGCGCUCGAAACGGCGGAACUAGAGUUCGGGAGAGGAGAGUGGAAUUCCCAGUGUAGAGGUGAAAUUCGUAGAUAUUGGGAAGAACAUCGGUGGCGAAGGCGGCUCUCUGGACCGAUACUGACACUCAGGUGCGACAGCGUGGGGAGCAAACAGG
rnacentral:rRNA from 1 species